ensembl:lncRNA
GUCUGACUCUCAGCGACCCCUUGGACUGCAGCCUACCAGGCUCCUCCAUCCAUGGGGUUUUCCAGGCAAGAGUACUGGAGUGGGGUGCCAUUGCCUUCUCCGGUAGGAUUGGUGUGUUCCAGGCUGACUGGCAUUCAAUCAGGAUGCCCGCCUGUCAUAGCUUAUUAAUAUGUGGCAAGAUGCCAACUCGGGCCUCCAGAGGUAGCAGAGCCUUGCCCAAGGAGGAGGAUCUCGAGUCAACCAUAGCUACGAGUCAAUAUAUGGAUAUUGAUCCGAGUGUCCUGGCUCUCCUGUGACUACUGUAUAGACUGCUUCCACUAUUUUGAAGUACAUGGUGCCCUCUGGUGGCCAUUCCUACCCCAUAGUGGGCCAUUCGACCUCAGAGUAUGCGGAGGUGGUUAGGCACCAUCUUUACCCCAUAGUGAAAGUGAAGUCGCUCAGUCGUGUCUGACUCUUAGCGACCCCACGGACUGCAGCCCUCCAGGCUCCUCCAUCCAUGGGAUUUUCCAGGCAAGAGUACUGCAGUGGGUUGCCGUUUCCUUCUCCAAUGCAUGAAAGUUAAAAGUGAAAGUGAAGUCGCUCAGUCACGUCCGACUCUUAGCGAUCCCAUGGACUGCAGCCUACCAGGCUCCUGCAUCCAUGGGAUUUUCCAGGCAAGAGUACUGGAGUGGGGUGCCAUUGCCUUCUCCAUCCUACUAGCGCUACACAUCUAAAACAGGAAGUGGUGUUUUGCUGCUGCUGCUGCUGCUGCUAAGUCACUUCAGUCGUGUCCGACUCUGUGCGACCCCAUAGACGGCAGCCCACCAGGCUCCCCUGUCCCUGGGAUUCUCCAGGUAAGAACACUGGAGUGGGUUGCCGUUUCCUUCACCCCAGAGUCUCCUCCAAAUCCCUUCUUAAAAUUUUAAUCAUGCACUCCAAUACAGUUGCUUUAGAUUCACUUCCCCCCAUCUUGCUUACCUUCUUGGACCUUCUUCUUCCUUUUCUUUUUGUUCUGUGUACAAAGUUCUCAGUACCCUAUGUACUUCUGCUGUUUCCACUCAAUGAAACAUUUAAAUUGCCAUUGGGGUGAGAAGAGCCUUACCUGCCGGAUCCCAGAGGGAGAAGGGGGAUCAGCGUGUCUUCACCUGCUGGUUGGAUGGCCCAACCAGAACACCACAUGUUCUAAGUCUGUUCUACCUUGGUGGGCUUGAUCAGGUGCAGAUGAAAACACAGAUGGGUUAAAUAUCCCAUGUUCCAGGCCAUCUCCGGAAAAGCCAAUUCAUACUCACUUAUGUAUCCCCCUCCUUCUAGCCUGACAAUUCUGAGGGGAUCAAGAAUUUCACAACAGAUGGGACACCUUCUCGAGGAGGGCAGAAUAUGAGCACACAAAGACCAAGUUUCUUUCCCCAAAAUCUCUCUCACAAUUGCCUGGUAAUAAUUCACCCCAAGACGACGUGGACACCACCUUCUUUGUGACAUUCACCCAAGUUUUUCCUUCAAAAGCCCUCUCACAAUCGCCUGGUAAUAAUUUACCUCAAGACAAUGCGGACAGCACCUCCUUUAUAACAGUCACAGUCAGUGUCUUCCCCAUUCCCUCCCAGGGGUUUGAUCAGGCCCCCUCUUCCACCCUGCUGGGUGGGAACCUCCUUACCCAAGUGCUCAACUCCCCUGCUGCUGUUCACUACCCACUAAUAUGAAAGAUCCAGGCCUCGGGAAAUGGACUCUUUCCAGAAGGGAGAGGUGCCUUCCCCCCUCUAGAAGAUCUGAGUCGCAAAGUCUCAGAGUAGCCCCAAAUAGGACUUGUCUCCUCAUAGUGAGGAGCUUCCCAGCC